UUGGAGGGCAAGUCUGGUGCCAGCAGCCGCGGUAAUUCCAGCUCCAAUAGCGUAUAUUAAAGUUGUUGCAGUUAAAAAGCUCGUAGUUGAAUUUCGGGGUCAGUACGCUGGUCGUGCCUUGGUAUGCACUGGUGUCACUGAUUCCUCACUUCUGAAGAACCGUUAUGCCAUUUAUUUGGUGUGAUGGGGAAUCAGGACUGUUACUUUGAAAAAAUUAGAGUGUUUAAAGCAGGCUCGCGCUUGAAUACAUUAGCAUGGAAUAAUGAAAUAGGACGUUUGAUCUUAUUUUGUUGGUUUCUAGGAUCGACGUAAUGAUUAAUAGGGAUAGUUGGGGGCAUUAGUAUUCAAUUGUCAGAGGUGAAAUUCCUGGAUUUAUUGAAGACUAACUACUGCGAAAGCAUUUGCCAAGGAUGUUUUCAUUAAUCAAGAACGAAAGUUAGGGGAUCGAAGACGAUCAGAUACCGUCGUAGUCUUAACCAUAAACUAUGCCGACUAGGGAUCGGAUGAUGUUAUUUUUAAUGACUCAUUCGGCGCCUUACGGGAAACCAAAGUGUUUGGGUUC
rnacentral:rRNA from 1 species